GGGGCCGAUCGGUAUCGACCGGACAGGGAAGGCUGAUUGUGGCGCGUCGAGGGGCGUGCAUGCCGCGUCAAAAGCACGCAACACAAUAACUGCCAACAACAGCGGUUAUCGUCUCGCGGCCUGAUAGGCCGUGCGAUCUCCGCCUGACGCCCGAUGGGGCGGGGAUCGAAGACAUCGGGCUGGCCGAAAGCGCGGCGCCGCCGGGCGCCUCGGUAAGAUUUUACCGGCUGCUGGGCCGAGGGGAGGUUGUCGAUGGCCGCCCCAAGGCUGAGAUCAACACAUCGAACACACGCGUAGAGGCGAUCAGCUGACUGUCACGACACGGGGGUUCGAUUCCCCCCGGCUCCAUUU
rnacentral:tmRNA from 1 species